CAGCGGCGCGGGCGCGGGCGGACGCCGGGAGACCCUGCCCAGCAGCCGCCGCCGCCGCCGCGGCCGCUUCGUAGUCAGGCUGCCGCCAACGAACCUGUUGCGCAGCCUGUCACGGCCGCUCGGGCUCCGCGGCGCCGCCUCAGCCCCACAACAACAUGGCGGCCGCGGCCUCCGCAGGAAGCCGGGGGGCGGGGUGGGAGGCGACGGUCCGGGCGGCUGACUGCCCGCCCGCUGCCGGGCACCGACUCCCCCACCCUCGGGAACCCGAAAUUGGCCCGGGCGUGGCUUCUCACCCCCAGAGCCCCAGGGCAGCGGACCCCGCGGGCCUGGUCCUAGUGUUCCGCUCUCCCCUCGGGGAAGCCCCGAAGCCCGGACGCGGCAGCCCUUCCUGGAGGGGCGCCUACCCACCUGGCUCCUCCUCCGCGAGGUGACAUGUUGAGGCUGGGUGGUGCUUUUCCCGCCACCGCAGACCCCACAGUUUUGGAAAAGGGCCAAACGGUGUAUGGUGCGUGCCUGCUGCACCUCCCGUGGCGCUCUCCCUGGAGCCUUCUAACUCACUACAGUAUCUUCGCCGACCUGGGAGCUCGAGUCCCCUGGAAUGGGGGGUGGGGCGGGAGGAGGUUGUUCCCACCCUUGCUCAUGGGUGUGUUACAGGCCUUUCCCUCAGGUAGCGCAGAAGGACUCACUGUACCCAACGGUCGUCCAUGCAGCGUUCCUCACCCUCCUCCAUCACAAACAAAAAAGGGCAAGAGAGGGGCCUUCCAACCCUCAUCCACGCUCAGAGCAACUGCCCCGUAUACUCUGGCCGAGCAGUAAGAAAUUAGUCACCUCUCCGUGAACUCCACCACCUGAGGGUCUGCGGAUGCUGGACGUUCUUCCCCGCCUGAUAGCUGCCUGACAGUAGAAGCUAAAUGUCGAGAUGGUGUAACCAAAAGAUGGGAAUAGCCUGGAUGUCAGGUGUGCUUAGAAGGGAGAUGUCCAGAGGAGCCACGGUACCUGCAGCUAACUUCAUGAAGAAGUAACUAUCAUAGGUCUUCCAGUGAUAGCCUGUCCACACACUUUUUUCUUUUUUUUCUUUGGCUCACGGGCCCAGCCGCUCCGCGGCACGUGGAAUCUUCCCGAACCGGGGCACGAACCCGGCUCCCCUGCAUCGGCAGGCGGACUCUCAACCACUGCGCCACCAGGGAAGCCCCACACACACAUUUUUACUUCUCCAUUUUGUGUAAGCAGUGGUGCUUCUGAUUACAAUCCUCCAAGGGAUUCCUAUUACACUUAGAACAAAAUUUAAAUUUCUUAUAGUGGCCUACUAUAAGGACGAACAUGAUUGGUUCUUGCCAACUCUCCAGUCUCAGCUCUGUAUGUUCCUUUCAAUAUGUAGAUUCAGAUAUUCUUUUACUUCUAGACAUUUUUCUCAGAUUAUAAUUUUAAAUAUUAAAAAAAAAUUUUUAUGCUUUGUGGACUC